rnacentral:rRNA from 1 species
AUUGAACGCUGGCGGCAGGCUUAACACAUGCAAGUCGAGCGGAGAUGAGGUGCUUGCACCCUAUCUUAGGGCGGACGGGUGAGUAAUGCUUAGGAAUCUGCCUAUUAGUGGGGGACAACAUUCCGAAAGGAAUGCUAAUACCGCAUACGUCCUACGGGAGAAAGCAGGGGGUCUUCGGACCUUGCGCUAAUAGAUGAGCCUAAGUCAGAUUAGCUAGUUGGUGGGGUAAAGGCCUACCAAGGCGACGAUCUGUAGCGGGUCUGAGAGGAUGAUCCGCCACACUGGGACUGAGACCCGGCCCAGACUCCUACGGGAGGCAGCGGUGGGGAAUAUUGGACAAUGGGGGGAACCCUGAUCCAGCCAUGCCGCGUGUGUGAAGAAGGCCUUAUGGUUGUAAAGCACUUUAAGCGAGGAGGAGGCUACUGAGACUAAUACUCUUGGAUAGUGGACGUUACUCGCAGAAUAAGCACCGGCUAACUCUGUGCCAGCCGCCGCAGUAACAC